UAUCAACAUGUCAGAUGUUGCUUCUUUGGUUGUGUAUCCUUUUAAUGAAGGAAGAAGAGGUAGAGAAAAAAGAAAAUCCUUGAGGGACAAGCAGUAUUGAAGACCUAACAUUUCACAGCUGCUGUGAUGUUUGAAAAUUUAUGUGAAGUCUUUAUUUUGAUGCAACAAUUUAAUUGUGGCCUAGAGCUGAGAUUUGCAUCUCUAAGGCUAUUCAAUGUAGAGUUACAACGAUAAGAUUUUUUUUUUUUAAAGAAUGGAACUAUAAUAGCACUGAGCAAGAACAUUCCUUAAACUAUCAAUGGCCAGAAGUUUUGAAGAAUAUGUGGAAGACAGAAAGCAUCAGUUCAAUCAAUGGACUCAUGGAGAAAGCUCAGUAGGAAAUCAAAAUUCAGAGCAGCUUCAAGUCUGGGGGUCAAUAGAGAGCUAGAAUGAGCCACAGAGAAAUCAUCAAAGUUACUCAUUUUAUAGAACUGUGUUUCCAAUAACAUGGACAUUUGGUUGCCCCUCUG
rnacentral:lncRNA from 10 species